rnacentral:rRNA from 1 species
CCUACGGGAGGCAGCAGUGGGGAAUCUUGGGCAAUGGGCGCAAGCCUGACCCAGCAACGCCGCGUGAAGGAAGGAAGCUUUCGGGUUGUAAACUUCUUUUCUCAGGGACGAAGAAAGUGACGGUACCUGAGGAAUAAGCCACGGCUAACUACGUGCCAGCAGCCGCGGUAAUACGUAGGUGGCAAGCGUUAUUCGGAUGUACUGGGUGUAAAGGGCGUGUAGGCGGGACUGCAAGUCAGAUGUGAAAACCACGGGCUCAACCUGUGGACUGCAUUUGAAACUGGAGUUCUUGAGUACUGGAGAGGCAGACGGAAUUCCUAGUGUAGCGGUGAAAUGCGUAGAUAUUAGGAGGAACACCAGUGGCGAAGGCGGUCUGCUGGACAGCAACUGACGCUGAGGCGCGAAAGCGUGGGGAGCAAACAGGAUUAGAUACCCCUGUAGUC